CCCUUAGAUGUUCUGGGUCGCACGCGUGCUACACUGAGUGGAUCAGCGGGUCAGGUUGCGCGAAAGUGUUUCCUAAUCUUUAAAUCCGCUCGUGAUGGGGAUUGACGGUUGCAAUUUUCCGUCAUGAACGAGGAAUACCUUGUAAGCGCGGGUCAUCAUCCCGCGCUGAAUACGUCCCUGCCCUUUGUACACACCGCCCGUCGCUCCUACCGAUUGAGUGGUCCGGUGAGGCUUUGGGAUCUGAGCGGAAAGAGCGUUUCGCUGUUUCUGCUCGGAAAACUCAGUCGAACCUUAUCAUUUAGAGGAAGGAGAAGUCGUAACA
rnacentral:rRNA from 1 species